rnacentral:rRNA from 1 species
UACGAAGGGGGCUAGCGUUGUUCGGAUUUACUGGGCGUAAAGCGCACGUAGGCGGAUCUUUAAGUCAGAGGUGAAAUCCCGGAGCUCAACUUCGGAACUGCCUUUGAUACUGGGGAUCUCGAGUUCGGGAGAGGUGAGUGGAACUGCGAGUGUAGAGGUGAAAUUCGUAGAUAUUCGCAAGAACACCGGUGGCGAAGGCGGCCUUCUGGACAGUGACUGACGCUGAGACGCGAAAGCGUGGGGAAGGCAAACAGGG